UGACUGCACCUCAUGGCCUGC
rnacentral:piRNA from 1 species